rnacentral:rRNA from 1 species
GUUGAGGAAGAUAAUGACGGUACUCAACAAGGAAGUGACGGCUAACUACGUGCCAGCAGCCGCGGUAAAACGUAGGUCACAAGCGUUGUCCGGAAUUACUGGGUGUAAAGGGAGCGCAGGCGGGAGAACAAGUUGGAAGUGAAAUCCAUGGGCUCAACCCAUGAACUGCUUUCAAAACUGUUUUUCUUGAGUAGUGCAGAGGUAGGCGGAAUUCCCGGUGUAGCGGUGGAAUGCGUAGAUAUCGGGAGGAACACCAGUGGCGAAGGCGGCCUACUGGGCACCAACUGACGCUGAGGCUCGAAAGUGUGGGUAGCAAACAGGAUUAGAUACCCUGGUAGUCCACACCGUAAACGAUGAUUACUAGGUGUUGGAGGAUUGACCCCUUCAGUGCCGCAGUUAACACAAUAAGUAAUCCACCUGGGGAGUACGACCGCAAGGUUGAAACUCAAAGGAAUUGACGGGGGCCCGCACAAGCAGUGGAGUAUGUGGUUUAAUUCGACGCAACGCGAAGAACCUUACCAAGUCUUGACAUCCYUYGACGAUGCUGGAAACAGCAUUUCUCUUCGGAGCAAGGAGACAGGUGGUGCAUGGUUGUCGUCAGCUCGUGUCGUGAGAUGUUGGGUUAAGUCCCGCAACGAGCGCAACCCUUAUGGUCAGUUACUACGCAAGAGGACUCUGGCCGGACUGCCGUUGACAAA